rnacentral:rRNA from 1 species
CGAGUCCGAGUCUCCACGGAGACGAAGUGGCGGUCAUCCAGCUUCCUAGAAAAGCUCUAACCACGUUAAUCUUUAGUUGCCUGUACCCGAAACCGACACAGGUAGGGGGGUAGAGAAUACCAAGGGGCGCGAGAUAACUCUCUCUAAGGAACUCGGCAAAAUGACCCCGUAACUUCGGGAGAAGGGGUACCACUGAGAAGUGGUCGCAGUGAAGAGGCCCAGGCGACUGUUUACCAAAAACACAGGUCUCCGCCAAGUCGCAAGACGAAGUAUGGGGGCUGACGCCUGCCCAGUGCCGGAAGGUUAAGGAAGUGGGUUAGGGAUUCGUCCCGAAGCUGACGACUGAAGCCCCGGUGAACGGCGGCCGUAACUAUAACGGUCCUAAGGUAGCGAAAUUCCUUGUCGGGUAAGUUCCGACCCGCACGAAAGGCGUAACGAUCUGGGCGCUGUCUCGGAGAGAGGCUCGGCGAAAUAGGAUUGUCUGUGAAGAUACGGACUACCUGCACCUGGACAGAAAGACCCUAUGAAGCUUUACUGUAGCUUGGAAUUGGGUUCGGGCUUGGUUUGCGCAGGAUAGGUGGGAGGCGAAGAAGAUUUGCUUGUGGGUGAAUCUGAGCCAACGGUGAGAUACCACUCUAACCAGGCUAGAAUUCUAACUUCAACCCGUCAACCGGGGGAAGGACAGUUUCAGGUGGGCAGUUUGACUGGGGCGGUCGCCUCCUAAAAGAUAACGGAGGCGCACAAAGGUUCCCUCAGGCUGGUUGGAAAUCAGCCAACGAGUGCAAAGGCAGAAGGGAGCUUGACUGCGAGACCUACAAGUCAAGCAGGGUGGAAACACGGUCUUAGUGAUCCGACGGCACCGAGUGGAAGGGCCGUCGCUCAACGGAUAAAAGUUACUCUAGGAUAGCAGGCUGAUCUCCCCCAAGAGUCCACAUCGACGGGGAGGUUUGGCACCUCGAUGUCGGCUCAUCGCAACCUGGGGCGGAAGUACGUCCCAAGGGUUGGGCUGUUCGCCCAUUAAAGCGGUACGUGAGCUGGGUUCAGAACGUCGUGAGACAGUUCGGUCCAUAUCCGGUGUAGGCGCAAGAACAUUGAGAGGAGUCUUCCUUAGUACGAGAGGACCGGGAAGAACGCACCGCUGGUGUACCUGUUAUCGUGCCAACGGUAAACGCAGGGUAGCCAAGUGCGGAGUGGAUAACCGCUGAAAGCAUCUAAGUGGGAAGCCCACCUCAAGAUGAGUGUUCUCAUGGAGUAAUCCAGUAAGGUCACGGGAAGACGACCCGUUGAUAGGCGGUAGGUGGAAGUUCAGCAAUGGAUGAAGCCGAGCCGUACUAACAGACCGAGGGCUU